AAUAGUGUAAUGGUCAUCACACCAUCCUUAUAAGCUGGAAAUCCAAGUUCAAU
rnacentral:tRNA from 15 species